rnacentral:rRNA from 1 species
CAAUAGCGUAUAUUAAAGUUGUUGCAGUUAAAAAGCUCGUAGUUGAAUUUCUGUCAGGAGUGACCGGGCCUUUGGAUGAACUUCCAUUGUUUUUUGCUCUGUUUGUCAUCUCUAGACAUCCUGAAAUAUUUUUUAAAAAUAUUUCUCUUUUACUGUUAGCAAAAUAGAGUGUUCCAAGCAAAGCGUGGUUUUGAAUACAUUAGAAUGGAAUAAUAAGAUAGGACUUUGGUGCUAUUUUGUUGGUUUGCACACCAAGGUAAUGAUUAAUAGGGACAGUUGGGGGUAUUCGUAUUUAAUUGUCAGAGGUGAAAUUCUUGGAUUUAUGAAAGACGAACUACUGCGAAAGCAUUUACCAAGGAUGUUUUCAUUAA